UACGAAGGGGGCUAGCGUUGCUCGGAAUCACUGGGCGUAAAGCGCACGUAGGCGGACUCUUAAGUCGGUGGUGAAAUCCUGGAGCUCAACUCCAGAACUGCCUUCGAUACUGAGAGUCUCGAGUCCGAGAGAGGUGAGUGGAACUGCGAGUGUAGAGGUGAAAUUCGCAGAUAUUCGCAAGAACACCAGUGGCGAAGGCGGCUCACUGGCUCGGUACUGACGCUGAGGUGCGAAAGCGUGGGGAGCAAACAGG
rnacentral:rRNA from 1 species